GAGUGGCUUCAGCCUCAAGCCCAAGUGUGGUUUCUCAAGGUCUACAGUGAGGCCCACCGACGCGCUGGGGAUCUGUUCUCGUGGAGAAGGGGGAAGGGUCUAAUCUGGGCUGCUGAGACGCAAACCAGAACGGGCCCCCGGAUAUUGAUCUUUAGCAGUGCUCUUGCUCCGUUGAGGCCCAUCACCCGCGUCGUAAAGCUGCCGUGUUUAGCAGGCUUCCUCAUUUCCUGCUGCUGUCCCUUCGGCCCAGACUUCUCAUGGAUCCAGGGCAUUCGCCCUCUUCCUACAUGGUCCAGGAACCUCAAGAGGUCGGAUUUCAGAACAAAUAGGAAGCCACAAGAAUCUUGCAGGCAAGACAAACAGGCGUCAGAGACGCUGAUCUUCC
ensembl:lincRNA Gm28380 predicted gene 28380